CUGGAGGUAUCAGAAGUGCGAAUGCUGACAUAAGUAACGAUAAAGCGGGUGAAAAGCCCGCUCGCCGGAAGACCAAGGGUUCCUGUCCAACGUUAAUCGGGGCAGGGUGAGUCGACCCCUAAGGCGAGGCCGAAAGGCGUAGUCGAUGGGAAACGGGUUAAUAUUCCCGUACUUGGUGUUACUGCGAAGGGGGGACGGAGAAGGCUAUGUUGGCCGGGCGACGGUUGUCCCGGUUUAAGCGUGUAGGUGUGUGUUCCAGGUAAAUCCGGUUCACUUUAACACUGAGGCGUGACGACGAGGCACUACGGUGCUGAAGCAACAAAUGCCCUGCUUCCAGGAAAAGCCUCUAAGCAUCAGGUAACAUCAAAUCGUACCCCAAACCGACACAGGUGGUCAGGUAGAGAAUACCAAGGCGCUUGAGAGAACUCGGGUGAAGGAACUAGGCAAAAUGGUGCCGUAACUUCGGGAGAAGGCACGCUGACACGUAGGUGAAGUGAUUUACUCACGGAGCUGAAGUCAGUCGAAGAUACCAGCUGGCUGCAACUGUUUAUUAAAAACACAGCACUGUGCAAACACGAAAGUGGACGUAUACGGUGUGACGCCUGCCCGGUGCCGGAAGGUUAAUUGAUGGGGUCAGCGCAAGCGAAGCUCCUGAUCGAAGCCCCGGUAAACGGCGGCCGUAACUAUAACGGUCCUAAGGUAGCGAAAUUCCUUGUCGGGUAAGUUCCGACCUGCACGAAUGGCGUAAUGAUGGCCAGGCUGUCUCCACCCGAGACUCAGUGAAAUUGAACUCGCUGUGAAGAUGCAGUGUACCCGCGGCAAGACGGAAAGACCCCGUGAACCUUUACUAUAGCUUGACACUGAACAUUGAGCCUUGAUGUGUAGGAUAGGUGGGAGGCUUUGAAGCGUGGACGCCAGUCUGCGUGGAGCCGACCUUGAAAUACCACCCUUUAAUGUUUGAUGUUCUAACGUGGACCCGUUACCCGGGUUGCGGACAGUGUCUGGUGGGUAGUUUGACUGGGGCGGUCUCCUCCUAAAGAGUAACGGAGGAGCACGAAGGUUGGCUAAUCCUGGUCGGACAUCAGGAGGUUAGUGCAAUGGCAUAAGCCAGCUUGACUGCGAGCGUGACGGCGCGAGCAGGUGCGAAAGCAGGUCAUAGUGAUCCGGUGGUUCUGAAUGGAAGGGCCAUCGCUCAACGGAUAAAAGGUACUCCGGGGAUAACAGGCUGAUACCGCCCAAGAGUUCAUAUCGACGGCGGUGUUUGGCACCUCGAUGUCGGCUCAUCACAUCCUGGGGCUGAAGUAGGUCCCAAGGGUAUGGCUGUUCGCCAUUUAAAGUGGUACGCGAGCUGGGUUUAGAACGUCGUGAGACAGUUCGGUCCCUAUCUGCCGUGGGCGCUGGAGAACUGAGGGGGGCUGCUCCUAGUACGAGAGGACCGGAGUGGACGCAUCACUGGUGUUCGGGUUGUCAUGCCAAUGGCACUGCCCGGUAGCUAAAUGCGGAAGAGAUAAGUGCUGAAAGCAUCUAAGCACGAAACUUGCCCCGA
rnacentral:rRNA from 1 species